rnacentral:lncRNA from 1 species
GUAAGGGUUUACCAGUCUAGUUUUCAUAGUGGAGGGUAAGGGUUAGUGGUAAGGAUUUUACCAGUCUAGUUUUCAUAGUGGAGAGUUAGUGGUAAGGAUUUUACCAGUCUAGUUUUCAUAGUGGAGGGUUAGUGGUAAGGAUUUUACCAGUCUAGUUUUCAUAGUGGAGGGUUAGUGGUAAGGAUUUUACCAGUCUAGUUUUCAUAGUGGAGGGUGAGGGUUUACCAGUCUAGAUUUUAUAGUGGAGGGUAAGGGUUAGUGGUAAGGGUUUACCAGUCAAGUUUUUAUAGUGGAGGGUAAGAGUUUACUAGUCUCGUUUUUAUAGUGGAGGGUAAGGGUUAGUGGUAAGGGUUUACCAGUCUAGUUUUUAUAGUGGAGGGUAAGGGUUUACCAGUCUCAUUCUUAUAGUGGAGGGUAAGGGUUAGUGGUAAGGGUUUACCAGUCUAGUUUUCAUAGUGGAGGGUAAGAGUUAGUGGUAAGGGUUUACCAGUCUAGUUUUCAUAGUGGAGGGUAAGGGUUAGUGGUGAGGGUUUACCAGUCUAGUUUUCAUAGUGGAGGGUUAGUGGUGAGGGUUUACCAGUCUAGUUUUCAUAGUGGAGGGUUAGUGGUGAGGGUUUUACCAGUCUAGUUUUCAUAGUGGAGGAUAAGGGUUCGUGGUGAGGGUUUACCAGUCUAGUUUUCGUAGUGGAGGGUUAGUGGUGAGGGUUUUACCAGUCUAGUUUUCAUAGUGGAGGGUAAGAGUUAGUGGUAAGGGUUUACCAGUCUAGUUUUCAUAGUGGAGGGUAAGGGUUAGUGGUGAGGGUUUACCAGUCUAGUUUUCUUAGUGGAGGGUUAGUGGUGAGGGUUUACCAGUCUAGUUUUCAUAGUGAAGGGUUAGUGGUGAGGGGUUUACCAGUCUAGUUUUCAUAGUGGAGGUGAAGGGUUAGUGGUGAGGGUUUUACCAGUCUAGUUUUCAUAGUGGAGGAUAAGGGUUAGUGGUGAGGGUUUACCAGUCUAGUUUUCAU